rnacentral:rRNA from 1 species
GGCCCUGAUAAUAUACCUAUAGAGUUUUUUCAACACUACUGGGAUGUGGUCAGUGAGGAUGUCAUGGGUUUAUUGGAAUGUAUUCAUGUUGGUUCUCUAGAAGUUCAACAAUUAAACUAUGGUAUUAUUGCACUACAACCCAAACUUUCUGAUGCAAACAAGAUACAACAAUUUAGGCCCAUUCGUUGAUUGAGAUGUUUUUACAAGCUUAUCACCAAAGUUUUGAUUGUUUGUCUUGAGCCUUUUGUUGAUAUUUUGUUUAGCAGACACCAGAAUGCUUUAAUAAAAGUUGUGCCAUUAUGGAUGGCAUCAUGA